UACGGAGGUGGCAAGCGUUGUUCGGAAUUACUGGGCGUAAAGGGCGCGUAGGCGGCAUGGCAAGUCAGACGUGAAAGCCCCGGGCUUAACCUGGGAACUGCAUCUGAAACUGUUGUGCUUGAGUUCUGGAGGGGGUAGUGGAAUUCCCAGUGUAGCGGUGAAAUGCGUAGAUAUUGGGAGGAACACCUGCGGCGAAGGCGGCUACCUGGACAGAUACUGACGCUGAGGCGCGAAAGCUAGGGGAGCAAACGGGAUUAGAUACCCCGGUAGUCCUAGCCGUAAACGAUGGGCACUUGGUGUUGGGGGUAUUGAGUCCCCCGGUGCCGGAGUUAACACGUUAAGUGCCCCGCCUGGGGAGUACGGUCGCAAGACUGAA
rnacentral:rRNA from 1 species